rnacentral:rRNA from 1 species
UACGUAGGGGGGCUAGCGUUGUCCGGAAUCAUUGGGCGUAAAGAGCGUGUAGGCGGUCCGGUAAGUCCGCUGUGAAAGUCGGGGGCUCAACCCUCGAAUGCCGGUGGAUACUGUCGGGCUAGAGUGCGGAAGAGGCGAGUGGAAUUCCUGGUGUAGCGGUGAAAUGCGCAGAUAUCAGGAGGAACACCAAUGGCGAAGGCAGCACUCUGGGGACGUGACUGACGCUGAGACGCGAAAGCGUGGGGAGCAAACAGG